rnacentral:rRNA from 1 species
CCUACGGGAGGCAGCAGUGAGGAAUAUUGGUCAAUGGACGAGAGUCUGAACCAGCCAAGUAGCGUGAAGGAUGACUGCCCUAUGGGUUGUAAACUUCUUUUAUAAAGGAAUAAAACGAGGCACGUGUGCCUUUUUGCAUGUACUUUAUGAAUAAGGAUCGGCUAACUCCGUGCCAGCAGCCGCGGUAAUACGGAGGAUCCGAGCGUUAUCCGGAUUUAUUGGGUUUAAAGGGAGCGUAGAUGGGUUGUUAAGUCAGUUGUGAAAGUUUGCGGCUCAACCGUAAAAUUGCAAUUGAUACUGGCAGUCUUGAGUACAGUUGAGGUAAGCGGAAUUCGUGGUGUAGCGGUGGAAUGCUUAGAUAUCACGAAGAACCCCGAUUGCGAAGGCAGCUUACUAAACUGUGACUGACAUUGAUGCUCGAAAGUGUGGGUAUCAAACAGGAUUAGAUACCCCUGUAGUC